rnacentral:rRNA from 1 species
GACGAACGCUGGCGGCGUGCUUAACACAUGCAAGUCGAGCGGAAAGGCUCCUUCGGGGGUACUCGAGCGGCGAACGGGUGAGUAACACGUGAGUAAUCUGCCCUUGGCUUUGGGAUAAGCCCCGGAAACGGGGUCUAAUACCGGAUACGACGCACUCUCGCAUGGGAUGUGUGUGGAAAGUUUUUCGGCCAGGGAUGUGCUCGCGGCCUAUCAGCUUGUUGGUGGGGUAAUGGCCUACCAAGGCUUCGACGGGUAGCCGGCCUGAGAGGGUGACCGGGCCACACUGGGACUGAGACACGGCCCAGACUCCUACGGGAGGCAGCAGUGGGGAAUAUUGGACAAUGGGCGAAGCCUGAUCCAGCAACGCCGCGUGAGGGAUGACGGCCUCGGUUGUAACCGUACUUUCAGUACCGACGAAGCGCCGA